GACGAACGCUGGCGGCGUGCCUAAUACAUGCAAGUAGGACGCAGUUGCGAACGUGUGAGUAACGCGUAGGUAACUACCUAUUAGAGGGGGAUAACUAUUGGAAACGCUAGCUACUACCGCAUACUAGUAGAUGGACCUGCGUUGUAUUAGCUAGUAGGUAGGGUAAUGGCCUACCUAGGCAACGAUACAUAGCCGACCUGAGAGGGGGAGCGGCCACACUGGGACGGAGACACGGCCCAGACUCCUACGGGAGGCAGCAGUAGGGAAUCUGGGGCAAUGGGGGGAACCCUGACCGAGCAACGCCGAGUGAGUGAAGAAGGUGUUCGGAGCGUAAAGCUCUGUUGGUAAGGAAGCGGUACGUAACCAGAAAGGGACGGCUAACUACGUGCCAGCCGCCGCGGUAAUUC
rnacentral:rRNA from 1 species